rnacentral:rRNA from 1 species
UACGUAGGGCGCAAGCGUUGUCCGGAAUUAUUGGGCGUAAAGAGCUCGUAGGCGGUCUGUCGCGUCGGCUGUGAAAACCCGAGGCUCAACCUCGGGCCUGCAGUCGAUACGGGCAGACUAGAGUGCUGUAGGGGAGACUGGAAUUCCAGGUGUGAGCGGUGAAAUGCGUAGAUAUCUGGAGGAACACCGGUGGCGAAGGCGGCAUCCUGGACCAACACUGACACUGAGGAGCGAAAGCCAGGGGAGCAAACGGG